CGAACGCUGGCGGCGUGCUUAACACAUGCAAGUCGAACGCGAAAGGGACUUCGGUCCUGAGUAAAGUGGCGCACGGGUGAGUAACGCGUAGAUAACCUGUCUUCAUGUCUGGAAUAAUACGCCAAAGGGGUACUAAUACCGGAUAUUCUUGCUUUUCAUAAGUUAUGCAAGCAAAGGUGGCCUCUGCAUAUGCUACUGCAUGAAGAGGGGUCUGCGUACCAUUAGCUAGUAGGUGGGGUAAUGGCCUACCUAGGCGACGAUGGUUAGCGGGUCUGAGAGGAUGAUCCGCCACACUGGCACUGGAACACGGGCCAGACUCCUACGGGAGGCAGCAGUGAGGAAUAUUGCGCAAUGGGGGAAACCCUGACGCAGCGACGCCGCGUGAGUGAAGGAAGGCCUUCGGGUCGUAAAGCUCUGUCAAGAGGAAAGAAGUGUACAAUGGCUAAUACCUGUUGUAUUUGACGGUACCUCUAAAGGAAGCACCGGCUAACUCCGUGCCAGCAGCGGC
rnacentral:rRNA from 1 species